CCUGAGGGUGGGGGCACCCUCAUGGCACUAUAGUGCCAGGAAAACGAGUAUGUUUUCCUGGCACUAUAGUGGUCCUUUAACUAAUGUAAUUAAAGUGGAUCUGUCAGCAUCUGGAGACUUUGCACAAUUUGCAAAUAUUCCCGAAUGUGACAUCGCUGCUGGGGGCUGGCGAAGGUGAGUUUUACUUACCCAAGCUUGUCUCUCGCGGGCGCUGCCAUUUUUUCCCUUCUUUUCCUCUUCUGCUCCUGACACUUCAGCUUAUGUCAGCAAUUGAACGAGAACAUGAACUGUAUGCGAGAAGUCACCUACAG